AGGAAAGCUCCUAUGGUCGGUCUGUUUGUGUGCGUAUUAUCAGCCGCAGUCACACAUCGCGUCCGCAGGUUCGACCUCGAUUCAUAUGUCAACCAAGGCGUCAUAUGGUGCUACUGUGUAUAAAGGGUCUGGGCAUUACUUUGGUCUCUACUGAAAUAGUGGGAGCACGAGGAUGACUCAUCAGAACUGCGUUUCAAGCACAAAUAACAAAUCCAUACUAUGCAAAGUCCCAAGACUCCUCCUAUCGUCCUCAGUACCGGGUCGCAAUACAACCCAUCUUUACCUCUCGCUCCCUCUCUCUCACUUUCUCUCUCUCUCUUUCUCUCUCUUUCUCCCGACCACACAGACCACUGAAACUGCACUUGGCCUCCUACCAGAUCUCGCUGUCAUGAAUGUUACACAUGUUCAGCUGAUCUUUUCAACUCUGUCAUAGCUGAGCCGUGGGCCCCCAGUCCUCUGUUCUAACUCCAGGGCUGAACAAAGUUGACUCCUUAGAUCCAGGAAAUGAUCCAGGAAAUGAUCCAGGAAAUGAUCCAGCCCACCCCCCUUCCUGUUCCCUCAGUGUACGAGUGCCUCCUAGACUAUCCGUGUUUGGGUUGGCAUGGCUAUCAGGCGAACCCAGCAGCCAAUCACUGUCCUCUCAGUCUGCACCAUCCUCAUCCUCCUCCUCUUCUCUGUUUGCUCACUAGGGGGCCAGUUGUGGUGGUGGCGGAGGGGGAAGGGGGGCCAGGUAAUUACUACUGGGGUAUGUGCAGACACAAGCAAAGAGUUUCCUGACCACCCUACAACACAAUAAGCCAAACAACAUUGUCUGUAAUUGUUAUGUGCGAGCGUACGUUGCUAAAUAAGGAUGUAGCAUCUCUCUUAGACUGUUUAGCAUGUGCUAAAGCUACUGUACAUCCCUAACAUAUUAAACAGCAAAACAAACAUUCACUACUGAGGCAUUAAUUACAACCAGAUGAGAGAAACUUGAUUUUACUUCCUUCAAAAAAAAACACUAACUUUAAUCAGCUGACAAUAACUUAGUCUAAGAGUACUUUUAUUAAAUCUGGCCCAUUUUAUGUAGAACAUUUUGCUGGAUACUAUCAGCAAAUUCUUUGAUUGCAAACCAAUAGUUUUACGUGAAGUCCAAGGACCUGUAUCGUAAUAACUUCACCAUUAUAUUGGUCAUCAGAUGUACAUAGAACAUAACUAUUAGUCUCUUAGGCGUUUUAAGAAAUAGUGCAGCAAGCAUGUAUACAACAAAGUACAUUUUAUUAAUGAUAUAGACUGUCGUCAUGUUGACCAUUCAGGUCAGUAUCAGUAGGAAUGGUCCUUAGUGUUCUGUUCUGCCCCCUGCAGUACAGGAAGAGGAACUGCAGGUGAGACGAUCCAAGAUCUGUCAAAACAAGUGGGCACUUAAACUAAAUUGUUGCAGUGAACUCGCUUCCUUUUGAAUUGUCUGCUUUGGAAAAAAGCAAACUAUCAAAAACUAGCAAAUAUCUUAUACAGUGGAUACCCUGAUGCCUUCCCAACAAGUUUCAAUCAUGGGUAUGAAUUACAUUUUUAAAGAAAUUCAAGAAAGAUUUGACGUGAUGGUACAUUUUUUCAUGUGAUGAUGAAGUUCAACCAUUUUUUCCACAGCUUCUACUGGAGACUGUAAAGUGAUAUUGAUUAAUAUAUGGCUAUGGUGAUUGUGUGAACUAUGGCAAAUUAUUUUAACUUAGUAUGAAUUAUUAGUAAGAUUAAAUUACAUGUUCCCUAGUGAUUAUCAUGUAAAUAUUGAAGACUCAAUAUGAAAACAAACAUUAUAUAGGCCUAUCAUUUAGUUAGAAACCUAUUUAUGAACUAACCCUAAACAUACAGUAGUAGUCAACCUCAACAACAAAUAAGAAUUAAAAAACAACAAGGAAACAUUGUAUUUGUUUCUCUGUGCCUGAAUUACCUACAGUAUUUACAUAGGAGGUUUUGAAUGAAACCUGGGGAAGUAUUUGAGGGGGGGCUUGUAUUUUGCAAUGUUGUGUUUGUUUCAACAAAGUUGAAUUGGUUGGUUAAACAUCACAAUCAGCCCUCCUAAUGCUACACCCUUAUCCUUAGAGUGCAUACUUUACUCUUGCACUCAUUCUUGGUGACCUAAAAGAUAAAGGGUGAACAUGACUAUGUUGGAUUAUCUCAACCAAUGCUGAUGUCUAUGAGUCGAAAUAGUCGAGUUCUUAACCCGGAAGUGAUGCAAUAUUACAUCCCUGGGGUCAACCACUCUAUUCCUUGACUGUAGUGUAUGUUAUGCCACAUGCAGUAGGUGAUAUUCAGUGUCCUGUUAAAGAGCAAGAUCUGGACCUCUGCUGUAGUAGGGAUGACUUCAGGUAGCCUGUGGUUCUGCUUUAGGUCGUUCUCGACAAUUUUGAUCAGUAUUUUAUGAAAAGGCGUGUUCAUUUCAUGGACUGAAGCUGCAUUAUGACGGUUGAGCUAUUCUUGCUUUGCGUUUCUUGGGAGUAGAUGCCUAAACUUAUAUUUGUGAACACUUGGUUUACAGAUUCCUUGAAUACUUGAUAUUUGUCAUUAAAAAAAUAAAUCUGACACCAAGUUUUGUUUUUCUGUGAUUCAAGAUCUCAAAAUGUCCAAUGUUGCCUUUAGUCGUGUGGCACUAACUGUAAAUGGUCAUACUGAAAAGAAACAUGAAAGUUAUCAGAUAUUGUAACUUGAUGGCAUGAACAAAUACUCAAUAUGACACACUAAACUAUUUGACAUUUUUAUUUAACAGCUUCUUGGCUUUCCUGAAACCAGAAUCGUUGCAACACUUCUACACAUAUUGUAAAAAAAGCUAGAAUAGCAAGAUGAUGACAGUACCGUCACUGUUGACCUACCAGACAAGCAUGGUAUUAUAGGUGUGGGUUUGUCUGGGGGGAAACAGAACCAUAGACUAAACAGAAGUAAAUGUCUGAUGAUAUUGAGAAUACAAGCCAGUACAUCAUAAGGAGGUUCCAUUCAGUAGACAAGAUAAUAACCAUGUGUAAUGUGGCAUAACAUCUGUAAUACCACAGAAUUGACACAAAACACAUUUUGUCUUUGAGCAUGUUUUCCAUGAUGGAGUUGAUGAACAUUACUACAAUACAGCAGGUGAUUAUUCUUGAUUAUCAAA